rnacentral:rRNA from 1 species
CACUAGGGAGGAGGUCCCACCUGACCCCAUGCCGAACUCAGAAGUGAAACGCCGUAGCGCCGAUGGUAGUGUGGGGUCUCCCCAUGCGAGAGUAGGGAACUGCCAGGC